UUCUCUGACCCUCCCCUGUUCAUGCUCUGUCUCUCCCUGUCUCAAAAAUAAAUAAAACGUUGAAAUGAGUCACUGCGGCCGGGGUGAUCUGAUAGGGACAGGAGGCAACCAGGAAGGAACGAGUUCCUCCCUCCUCCCGCCUUCCAUCAUCCCUACCAGCCACCUGCCGGUAGAACGUUUCACAGACUCCCAGCCUCCGCAUCACAAAGCCAAGCCUAGAAGGAUGGAAUUGGAGCCGAAAGGCAAUGACGCCCUGUCGCUAUGUGGUUGUUACCCACUUUGAUGAGUCCCCCACGCUGGACGUUAGGGUGUUGCCAAUCCUUUGCCAUUAUAGAUAUGGCUUCGGUGGUGGUCUUCUGCACCUGAAGCUUUGAGUGCCUGCAGAUGACUUUGUUUGUGAAACAUCCGCCAACGUGGCAGCAGCUUGCUGAACACCGUGGGCCUUUUUAGGGGUCCCGAUGCCUGUAGCCAAAACGUCUCCCUUAAAGACCGUGUCAGUUUCAGGGCUCUCUAUCGAUCAGCAUCCUAAAUCCACCUCACUGAUUGUGAAAUGACUGAGUGUGCCUUCACAGAUGCGGCCCUCCCCGAGCCCCGAAACUUACUUUCCGGAUCCUUCUCUGCUCAUCGCCAGACAGCAGCCCACGGUCACAUUUCCUCUCCUCUGAUUAACUAGAGGGCCUCUCAUUCAUCGGCCGCUCACCUCAUCCUCUCUGGUCCCGCCUCCCUUCUUUCUCCACGUGGUCAGCAAAGCAUAUCGGAAAUGUCCCCAAACGUAGAGAAGACCCUUCUGGUUUGAGAAGUAGCCCCAAGAAACCGAUUCAAGAGGAAAGACCUUUGAAGUCCUGCACUUUAUCUUGGAAGUUCUAGUGACCUCUGGAUUCUACUUUAUAGUCAAUCUCCUUUACAGUAAAAACAGUAUUUUCGCUA